CUCCCUGUAGUGCAAUGGAUCGCUUGUUGGACUUCUAAUCCAAAGGUCGUGAGUUCGAAUCCUUACCUGGGAUG